rnacentral:rRNA from 1 species
GAUGAACGCUGGCGGCGUGCCUAAUACAUGCAAGUCGAGCGAACGGACGAGAAGCUUGCUUCUCUGAUGUUAGCGGCGGACGGGUGAGUAACACGUGGAUAACCUACCUAUAAGACUGGGAUAACUUCGGGAAACCGGAGCUAAUACCGGAUAAUAUUUUGAACCGCAUGGUUCAAAAGUGAAAGACGGUCUUGCUGUCACUUAUAGAUGGAUCCGCGCUGCAUUAGCUAGUUGGUAAGGUAACGGCUUACCAAGGCAACGAUGCAUAGCCGACCUGAGAGGGUGAUCGGCCACACUGGAACUGAGACACGGUCCAGACUCCUACGGGAGGCAGCAGUAGGGAAUCUUCCGCAAUGAGCGAAAGCCUGACGGAGCAACGCCGCGUGAGUGAUGAAGGUCUUCGGAUCGUAAAACUCUGUUAUUAGGGAAGAACAUAUGUGUAAGUAACUGUGCACAUCUUGACGGUACCUAAUCAGAAAGCCACGGCUAACUACGUG